rnacentral:rRNA from 1 species
AUUGAACGCUGGCGGCAGGCCUAACACAUGCAAGUCGAACGGUAACAGGAAGCAGCUUGCUGCUUCGCUGACGAGUGGCGGACGGGUGAGUAAUGUCUGGGAAACUGCCUGAUGGAGGGGGAUAACUACUGGAAACGGUAGCUAAUACCGCAUAACGUCGCAAGACCAAAGAGGGGGACCUUCGGGCCUCUUGCCAUCGGAUGUGCCCAGAUGGGAUUAGCUAGUAGGUGGGGUAACGGCUCACCUAGGCGACGAUCCCUAGCUGGUCUGAGAGGAUGACCAGCCACACUGGAACUGAGACACGGUCCAGACUCCUACGGGAGGCAGCAGUGGGGAAUAUUGCACAAUGGGCGCAAGCCUGAUGCAGCCAUGCCGCGUGUAUGAAGAAGGCCUUCGGGUUGUAAAGUACUUUUCAGCGGGGAGGAAGGCGAUAAGGUUAAUAACCUUGUCGAUUGACGUUACCCGCAGAAGAAGCAC